UACGUAGGGUGCAAGCGUUAAUCGGAAUUACUGGGCGUAAAGCGUGCGCAGGCGGUUCUAUAAGACAGAUGUGAAAUCUCACAGCUUAACUGUGAAACUGCAUUGGAUACUAUUCGGCUUGAGAGUUGGAGGGGGGGACUGGAAUUCUUGGUGUAGCAGUGAAAUGCGUAGAUAUCAAGAGGAACACCAGUGGCGAAGGCGGCUCACUGGCCCGGAACUGACGCUGAGAUGCGAAAGCGUGGGGAGCAAACAGG
rnacentral:rRNA from 1 species